rnacentral:rRNA from 1 species
GAUGAACGCUAGCGGCAGGCCUAAUACAUGCAAGUCGAACGAGAUUACGAGGCUUUCUUCUUAUGAAAGUUGGGCACGGGUGCGUAACUCGUAUGCAACCUACCUUAAUCUGGGGGAGAGCCCGAAUAAAUUCGGAUUAAGACCGCAUAAAAACACAGUAUAGCAUUAUCCAAUGUUCAAAUAUUUAGAGUAUUAAGAUGGGCAUGCGUGGCAUUAGCUAGUUGGCGGGGUAACGUCACAUCAAGGCGACGAUGACUAGGGGAUCUGAGAGGAUGACCCACCACACCGGUACUGAGACACGGACCAGACUGCUACGGGAGGCAGCAGUAAGGAAUAUUGGUGACUGGAGGGUACUCUGAACAAGCCAUGCCGCGUGCAGGAAGACAGCCCUCUGGGUCGUAAACUGCUUUUAAUCGGGAAUAAACCUUUCUACGUGUAGGAAGCUGAAUGUACCGAAGGAAUAAGGAUCGGCUAACUCCGUG